rnacentral:rRNA from 1 species
GACGAACGCUGGCGGCGUGCUUAACACAUGCAAGUCGAACGGAAAGGCCCCCACUUUUUUGGUGGGGGUGCUCGAGUGGCGAACGGGUGAGUAACACGUGGGUGAUCUGCCCUGUACUUCGGGAUAAGCUUGGGAAACUGGGUCUAAUACCGGAUAGGACCAUGGUUUAGUGUCUCAUGGUGGAAAAAUUAUUGUUUUGGUGCAGGAUGAGCUCGCGGCCUAUCAGCUUGUUGGUGGGGUAAUGGCCUACCAAGGCGUCGACGGGUAGCCGGCCUGAGAGGGUGGACGGCCACAUUGGGACUGAGAUACGGCCCAGACUCCUACGGGAGGCAGCAGUGGGGAAUAUUGCACAAUGGGCGCAAGCCUGAUGCAGCGACGCCGCGUGGGGGAUGACGGCCGUCGGGUUGUAAACUCCUUUCGUUAGGGACGAAGCCGCACCUUUUUUGGGUGUGGUGACGGUACCUUUGUUAAGAAGCACCGGCUAACUACGUG